rnacentral:sRNA from 1 species
CUGCAUUAAAAGGGAGAUUUGAUUUUCUUAUUAAAUCUUAAAUAAAUUAAAGUAUCUUUAUGCUAAGAACUAGUGCCGGUACUACAACAAUAAGUAGGCUACGAGCUGAUUGGGUGGAACAAGACUGCUAAAGUGUUUCAUCUAGUUAUCUUUGAAGACGGCUCCAGGACAAUUAACUGGUACAACAAUAGUAGGAGAUCUGCAAACGUCUACACAAUAUUUGCACUAUGGUUAAAAGCUGCGAAGGAGCUAAUUGCCGUCUGCAGUUCACCCAUUAAAGAUUCGCCUCCUCUAACAAACAAUGACGCUGCAGUACGAGGAUAUUAUUGACGAGAUCAACCCGUUCGGACGUUACCAGAAAACUGUCCUGUUCCUUAUAUGUCUGCCAGUUGUUCCGAUAGCCAUGCAGGCAGUUAUAACAGUCUAUACUCUGGGGACACCCAA